rnacentral:rRNA from 1 species
AGCGAUGGGGGGACGCAGUAGGAUAGGCGAAGCGUGCUGUUGGAGUGCACGUCCAAGCAGUGAGAUUGAGUGUUAGGCAAAUCCGGCACUCUUAAGAUUGAGCUGUGAUGGGGAGAGGAACUUGUUCCUCGAGUCGUUGAUUUCACACUGCCGAGAAAAGCCUCUAGCUAGAAUAACGGUGCCCGUACCGCAAACCGACACAGGUAGUCAAGAUGAGAAUUCUAAGGUGAGCGAGCGAACUCUCGUUAAGGAACUCGGCAAAAUGACCCCGUAACUUCGGGAGAAGGGGUGCUCUUUGAGGUUCACGCUUCGAAGAGCCGCAGUGAAUAGGCCCAAGCGACUGUUUAUCAAAAACACAGGUCUCUGCUAAACCGUAAGGUGACGUAUAGGGGCUGACGCCUGCCCGGUGCUGGAAGGUUAAGAGGAGUGGUUAGCGCAAGCGAAGCUACGAAUCGAAGCCCCAGUAAACGGCGGCCGUAACUAUAACGGUCCUAAGGUAGCGAAAUUCCUUGUCGGGUAAGUUCCGACCCGCACGAAAGGCGUAACGAUUUGGGCACUGUCUCAACGAGAGACUCGGUGAAAUCAUAGUACCGGUGAAGAUGCCGGUUACCCGCGACAGGACGGAAAGACCCCGUGGAGCUUUACUGUAGCCUGAUAUUGAAAUUCGGUACAGUUUGUACAGGAUAGGUAGGAGCCUUAGAAGCGUGAGCGCUAGCUUACGUGGAGGCAUUGGUGGGAUACUACCCUAAUUGUAUUGGAUUUCUAACCCGCAGCACUUAUCGUGCUGGGAGACAGUGUCAGGCGGGCAGUUUGACUGGGGCGGUCGCCUCCUAAAGAGUAACGGAGGCGCUCAAAGGUUCCCUCAGAAUGGUUGGAAAUCAUUCAUAGAGUGUAAAGGCAUAAGGGAGCUUGACUGCGAGACCUACAAGUCGAGCAGGGUCGAAAGACGGACUUAGUGAUCCGGUGGUUCCGCAUGGAAGGGCCAUCGCUCAACGGAUAAAAGCUACCCCGGGGAUAACAGGCUUAUCUCCCCCAAGAGUUCACAUCGACGGGGAGGUUUGGCACCUCGAUGUCGGCUCAUCGCAUCCUGGGGCUGUAGUCGGUCCCAAGGGUUGGGCUGUUCGCCCAUUAAAGCGGUACGCGAGCUGGGUUCAGAACGUCGUGAGACAGUUCGGUCCCUAUCCGUCGUGGGCGUAGGAAAUUUGAGAGGAGCUGUCCUUAGUACGAGAGGACCGGGAUGGACAUACCUCUGGUGUACCAGUUGUCGUGCCAACGGCAUAGCUGGGUAGCUAUGUAUGGACGGGAUAAGUGCUGAAAGCAUCUAAGCAUGAAGCCCCCCUCGAGAUGAGAUUUCCCAACUUCGGUUAUAAG